GAGGUUUCGCGCACCGGUAGAGCUGUGGGCAGGGCUGCCUCGCUCGUCGGUUAUUUCCUGCGCUUGCAGAUGAGUCGCCCAGGAGCCCCAGGCAGAGGAGAAGCUGGAAGAAGUGGAGCUGAGCAGGCUGGACAUCCCGGUAAGCAGAGAUGAACAGUCCUGAGCUUUCUGCCUUUCCCAGCACUGAGUGUGAGUCAGCGGUGACAGCACUCUCUUCCUCAGCUCUUCCCAGGGGAAAGAAGUCAUGAGGACGGAGUCCAGCACCGAGGUGAGAUGGAAAGUGAGCGAGAGCAGUGACAGCAUGAAUCCUGUUGAUGCCAGGCAAGACCUGUCCAGCUGGGAGCGAAGCAGCUGUCGCUGUUACUGAGGAAGAGAAGGAGGAGGCUGCAGGAUGGUGAAGGAGAGAAAAUCAACACUGCAGGA